GAAACCAAGAUGAUUUAGUAGUCUCUUCAAUUCAGUUGUAUUAGCUGAACAUUGCCUAAUUAUCGUGCCUAUAGGAACAUCACCCAAGGUUUAAGGGAGAUAACUUUGAGAAGAACAAGGCCAUUUAUUUUCGUAUUGAAAAGUUAGCUAAGAAGCAUGGAUGCACUCCUGCUCAACUUGCGCUCGCAUGGGUUCUUCAUCAAGGAGAUGACGUUGUACCUAUUCCAGGUAAGUCCGUUCAUAUAAGAAGCUUACUUUAAAUAAGUAGUUUUCACAGGACUUCAGCAGUUUGUUAUAACUGGAAAAUUGUGAUAUUUGUCGAUGUUGUAACUCACGUAGCAAUGGAAGAUGACUGACUCAAAUGUUUAUUGUUAUAUUGAUCUCAUGAAUUGUUUAAGAAUUAGCAGUAAAUCAAUCUUGUAAUAUUUACAGGAACCACAAAAAUAAAAAAUCUUCAUGAAAAUAUUGGUUCCGUGAAAGUGAAGCUUACAAAAGAUGAUUUGAAAGAGAUAUCCGAUGCAGUUCCCAUCGAUGAGGUGGCAGGGACCAAAACUCAUUCGGAGGCCCUUGAAAAGAGCUCUUGGAGAUUUGCAUAUACACCACUGCCAAAAUGAGCACAGCAGAACCGGAAAAUAUUUUUAUCUUAAUGUCUUGAAAGAACGUGUGCUUUUUGGGGAUAGUUCUAGCAAUUUCAUGUACUUCGUAUAACUCUUUCUCGGGUCAAUAAUUUCAGUACUGUGUUUCUUGAGUUUAAAGUCUGUCCUUUAUGCUUAAUGCCUAAAUUUUGUAAGGUAUUCUCUAAGGUUUUGAAGAACAUAGAACACAUAUCCCAGCUACAAUAUCAGUAUUUUAGUUUGUGAUCAUGUUUCCUCCUUUAUCGUUGUGGCGUGAUAUAUUACAAAUUAUGUUUAUUAAUUUUACUUUGGGCCAACUCUUUGGAAGAUGUUAGUAGAUGUAUC
rnacentral:lncRNA from 1 species